AUUGAACGCUGGCGGCAGGCUUAACACAUGCAAGUCGAACGAGUGGCGGACGGGUGAGUAAUGUCUGGGAAACUGCCUGCUGGAGGGGGAUAACUCCUGGAACCGGUAGCUAAUACCGCAUACCAUCAGAUGUGCCCAGAUGGGAUUCGCUUGUUGGUGGGGUAACGGCUCACCAAGGCGACGAUCCCUAGCUGGUCUGAGAGGUUGACCGGCCACACUGGAACUGGGACACGGCCCAGACUCCUACGGGAGGCAGCAGUGGGGAAUAUUGCACAAUGGGCGCAAGCCUGAUGCAGCCAUGCCGCGUGUAUGAAGAAGGCCUUCGGGUUGUAAAGUACUUUCAGCGGGGAGGCGGUACCCGAAGAAGAAGCACCGGCUAACUCCGUGCCAGCCGCCGCGGUAAUAG
rnacentral:rRNA from 1 species